CUCGGACAGCCUCAAAAACAAAAACCCCGUACCGUAUUACUAAGUUUUUUCGUUGGUACCUCCUUUGUCUUAAUAAACUUUGUGUGUCUACUAUGGCUCUCAAAGAAAGUGAUGAUAAGGAAUUGUCGCCCCAGUCUUAUUUGUAUCCACUACGGUGUAUGCAACAUGGGUAAAGGGAUUGUUCAUAACAAUAGCCUGAGACGGUCUCUUGGAUUGGAAGUGGCUUUGCAUAUGGAUUCGUUCAUUGUUUUUUGUUUUCUUAGACGCAGUUGUAGUCGUACUUUAUAAACACAGUACCUUCAAAGAAAAAGUCUUUAUUUCUAAAA